UUCAUCGUGAGGUGAAAUCUGAAAGAAGCCGGUGGCAAACAUCUGACCUAACGUACAGAAACUUCAUACAAGGCAUAUGACCGUGGGUAAGGUUGCAACACAGACCAAAGCCCCAUAGCUNUUCGGAACAGUCGGUGUACAUGAAGUGGGUAUAAGAUGGAAAGACAAUGCC
rfam:Human gut metagenome DNA, contig sequence: F2-V_021590.